AAAAUCAGAGUCAUCUAUCGAGAGAAAACUGAGUUUUCGACGGCCAUUUUGGACGCUUUUCCUAUUGAUGUAAGAAGCUGUAAGAUGUAAAGAAGCUCUAGAAAUUCGGGAUUUGCGCCAAAAUGGUUGGCAAUUGUGCUGUUCCACAUUGUAAUUCAACAUACUAUAAAAGUGCGCAAAUAAAAAGUGGAAUUGCUGUGUUCUCCGUUCCAAAAACAGCCGUAGGAUUAUGGCAACAGCAAAUACCGUCAAUCGUUUAGACGACCACUUCUCGUAUUUGCACGCGCCAUUUUGAUGAGAAUGACAUAAAAAGAGGGACUGAAGUAUUAAACGUGUUUCAUCCGUUUAAACGAUGGGUUUUGAAGGAAGGAGCCAUUCCGAGAUAUUUCCUUACACCCAAUGAAACUUCCCGACAACCAUUACAAAGCAUUUGCAAUGUGAAUAGGAGAAACAAUUCAAUAGCAAACCCUACUGUCGAUUAAAAGUGCAGGAAGCAUCCAAAUAAAGAAAGAUAUGCCUUUGCGAAGAAGAGCAGCCUAAAUAAAAAGAUUUCUGAUGAUUUGGCCACCCCCAUGGAAGUCGUUCCAGAUGAGAACCUUUCAGUUGAAAAACAGUUACCAGCUAUGGCUAAACAACCUGCAUUAGUAGUCGUAGAAACAAUACCGUCACUACCAACAGUGGUGAAAUUGACGCCGAUGGAUGAUGUUCAUGAUCCGAAUACCUCAAAUGAAUCAGAAUUGAACAUUACAACUGAAGAAACCGUUAAUGAAAAUGCAGAAAUAACAAGUACUGCUCAAUCAUCUUCAACUACAGGUACGUGCAUCCAAUAAUCGUGAUAUGUCGUUACUUACAUAAAUCAUCAUUUAUUUUCGUUCUUUUUCAGAUGAGAGUAUAAAGAACUUCAAACCAAACUUCAUCACGUAUUUCACAUUGGUGUCCCAAAUGGAAUUACCUGACGGUUGGAUAUGGUCAUUCAACCAAGCCAAAAACGCCAUACUUUGCAUUUACACGGACCCAUUAUCUAACGGAACGGUGACAGUGAAAGCAAUACUAUUCCGAAACUCACAAGAGGUUUCGUAUCAUCUUAAUGGAAAGCACAUUGCACCAAACAGUAUUCCUACUCAUUUUUCAUCAAUGGAAGACAUAUCAAACUUAAUAAGGAAUUUUCACGAAAAAAACAUUUGCGUUGGUAUUGUUGGAAGCCAGUUUAAAGAUGGCGAGUUUUCAUUACGGCUCUCUGUAGUUUUUGACGCCAAUGGAGUCAUUCGAUCAGGCUUCUGCAAAAUUCUAAUGGACAAAAAAACGAUGUGUGAAAUGUAGCACUUUAAAAUGUUACCUACAGAAAAGGAUGAAAAGCAGAAAGCACGAAGAUUUUUUAACACAAUCAGACUCCACAAAAAAAAAAUCUGAAUUGACCCAGAAAAAUGAAGAACUGUAUCGUUGUCGGAUGCAAAAGAACAUUUACAAAUGUAGGGCAAAGGAUGCAUCAACUAUGAUUGCCAAAUUGCGUCGUGAGUGUAGGUUAAUGGUCCUCAAGGA